rnacentral:rRNA from 1 species
AUGGCACUGUUGACUGGGCUGGGUCAGGCGGCGACGGUGGCGCAGCUGGUCGGCGUAGAUAUCGGGGGGCUCAUCUCUAUGAUUGUGCAGGCUGCACGAAUGGCUCGGCAGAACAGGUCCGAGUGUGAGCAGCUUGCUCGUCGGGUUCUUAUGAUCGCGCAGCUGCUGCCACAUGUGCAGGAACCGGAGGCGGUUCAGCCGCUGGCCGAGCUGGGCGAUACACUUCGGGAGGCCCACGAGCUCGUUGUGUCCUGCCAAGGCAGGAACGCAGCGUACCAAUUGGUCAUGGCAGGGAGGCAGGCCGAAAGGUUUCGGGACGUGCAUAGUAGGAUUGACUCCUACCUCAUCCUCUUCCCCGUGAUCAGCCAUAUCGGCAUGACACGCCGCCUUGGACGAAUCUACAAUGUCCUUGUACCAGAGGACUCCAGCAGAGUUGACCCCUCUCCGCUUCCACAACCGCAGGAGUCUACAGAGGUUGCUCAGGAGGUACUACCGCAUGGAACCCAGCAAUUCACGUGGGCGGAGAUCGUGGCCGCCACUAAUAACUUCGACACAGUGAUCGCUCGGGGCAGCAGUGGAAUGGUGUACAAGGGCAGGCUUGACGAUGGGCGAGAGGUGGCCAUUAAGCACAUAAAAAACGAUGAGUACUGGAGAGAGGACUUUAGCACAGAGCUCCACAUCCUAUCACGGCUCCAACACAAACACAUCAUCCGCCUCCUUGGAUCAUGUGUGAUUGUGAGCAAGGACAAGUGCCCGCUAACCACCCGGCAAAAGAUAAAAAAGGGCUUACUGACCAGGUGGAGAAAGGAGCCAGAAGAGCCUGAAGAGCCGGAGAGGCUGAUCAUUGUCUAUGAGUACAUGGAGAAUGGCACGCUCCACGACCUCCUGGGUUCUGAUCAGGGCUCCUCCAUGCUGUCGCCAGUGACGGUGUCCUGGAAGCUGCGCAUGGAUGUGCUCCUUGGUGUGUCGCGCGCCAUUGAGUACCUGCACUGUCAUGCCCACCCGCCAAUCAUCCACCGGGACAUCAAUUCAAGUAAUAUCGUUUUCGACGCGAGUUGGGUGCCGCGUGUAGCAGACUUUGGCUCGUCGGUCGCCUCGGACGUGACGAGGGAGGAGGAGGGGGUGGAGUGCGAGGCUGUAGGAACAUUAGGAUACGUUGACCCUGAGUACCAUGAUACAUUCCUUCCGAAACCGGCGGCCGACGUGUACAGCCUAGGCGUGGUGAUGUUCGAGGUUCUGACUGGGAAAAGGGCAGUUUUCAUAGAGGAGAAGGGAACUGUUACUCAUUUGCCAAACUUCGCAAUCACCCUCAUCGAGGCUGGUAAUCUUGGGGAGAUGUUGGACAGGCGACCAUCACCGGAGCCGACGCCGUGGGAGCUGCAAGCGCUGAAGCAUGUGGCGCGGACUGCACGACAUUGCGUGAAGUUGAGCAGCAAGGACCGGCCGACCAUAUCAGACAUUGUUGGCAAGCUGGAGAUGGCAUAUGAGUUGACAUGCAGAGACGAGUCAGGUUCCGUUGAUGAGCUACCGGACUCACCACGUGGCAGCAACGUAUCAUCAGCUGGCUGCCAGUCUGAUCUGGAACCUGAGGCGUUGGAGGAUGGGCCUUGA